CGAACGGUGAACACGGAGCUUGCUCUGUGGGAUCAGAUGGCGAACGGCUGAGUAACACGUGAGCAACCUGCCCCUGACUCUGGGAUAAGCGCUGGAAACGGCGUCUAAUACUGGAUAUGUGACGUGACCGCAUGGUCCGCGUUUGGAAAGAUUACUCUCGGUUGGGGAUGGGCUCGCGGCCGACAGCUUGUUAGGUGAGGUAAUGGCUCACCAAGGCGUCGACGGGUAGCCGGCCUGAGAGGGUGACCGGCCACACUGGGACUGAGCACACGGCAGCCAGACUCCUACGGGAGGCAGCAGUGGGGAAUAUUGCACAAAGGGCGAAAGCCUGAUGCAGGCAACCGCCGCGUGAGGGAACGGACGGCCUACGGGUUGUAAACCUCUAUUAGCAGGGGAAGAAGCGAAAGUGACGGUACCUACCGCACGAAAAAGCGACCGGACGUAAACAGUCGUGCCAAGCGACACACGCAGGGAAUACGUAGGGCAGCAAAUGCUUUUCUCUGUUGGCGUGUGUGGCGUGUCUAGUCACGGAGCACGCUUUUGGCGGGAAGAAAGUCGAGCUGCUAGAGUCUGGUUAUCGAGACAGGUGCAGCGUUAUCCGGGUUCUUUGGGAGAAAAGGGGUCUGUGGGGGGUUUGUCGCGUCUGCUGUGGUUUCGGGGGGUCGACUCCACGAGGAGACAGUGGGUUCCUGCAAACUGGCUUGCUGGUAGUGGCUAUUGGCGUGGGAGAGCAAACGAGACGAUUCAGCAUACCCUGGGAGAGCACGCCGAAAACGAUGUCUACUUGGAGGUUGCAGGCCUUGAGCCGUGGCUUUCGGAGCUAACGCGUUAAGUAGACCGCCUGGAGGAGCACGGUCGCAAGAUUAAAACUCAAAUGAAGUGACGGGGCGCCCGCACAAGCGGCGGAGCACGAGGACCAACACGAGGCAACGCGAAGCAACCUUACAGAGACUCUGACAUCCAGAGAACCUAGCAGAGAUGGAGCAGGAGCCACCGCCGAACACUGACGACAGGUGCAGCAAGGGCAUGACGCCAGCAUCCCUCGUCUUAUGUUGCCAGCGCGGUCCUGGUGGGAACUCAUCGGAUACUCCCGGGGUCAUCUCGCAGUAAGGUGGGGAUGACGUCAUAUCGUCAUGCCCCUUAUGUCUUGGGCUUCACGCAUGCUACAAUGGCCGGGUACACAGGGCUCCAACUCCGUGAGGUGUGCGUGUCGCAGAAAGCCGGUCCCAGUUCGGAUUGAGGUCUUGCAGCUCGACCUCAUGAAGUCGGAGUCGCUAGUAAUCGCAGCUCAGCAACGCUGCGGUGAAUACGUUCCCGGGUCCUUGUACACCUCGUCCGUCAAGUCUUGAAAGUCGGUACCACCUAAGCCGGGGCCUAACCCGUGGGA
rnacentral:rRNA from 1 species